CGCUGGCUCGUAGUUGAAGUUCUGAAAGAGUUCACGAAGCUUACGGUGGAGUGAAUAUUUUUCAUCUUUCUGUUAACGCAUUCGACACUCCGUGUGGUUCGAGCUCAGAUAUUUUACCUUGAGAAAAAUAGAGUGUUUCAGGCAGGCAUGGCAGUAUACACAAGCUGGAAUAAUAGAAUUGACGCUUUUCUGUGGGCGAAGGGGAGUCAAAGGGUGUUCGAAACCUUUGGGUCAUGAUUAUUUAGUGUCAAAAGUAUUAUUAUUGUUUUGUAUAGAAAAGUAAGUUAUGUAUGGGGGGCGGUG
rnacentral:rRNA from 1 species